UGGGGAAUUUUGGACAAUGGGCGCAAGCCUGAUCCAGCCAUGCCGCGUGCGGGAAGAAGGCCUUCGGGUUGUAAACCGCUUUUGUCAGGGAAGAAAUCUUCUGAGUUAAUACCUCGGGAGGAUGACGGUACCUGAAGAAUAAGCACCGGCUAACUACGUGCCAGCAGCCGCGGUAAUACGUAGGGUGCAAGCGUUAAUCGGAAUUACUGGGCGUAAAGCGUGCGCAGGCGGUUUUGUAAGACAGAGGUGAAAUCCCCGGGCUCAACCUGGGAACUGCCUUUGUGACUGCAAGGCUUGAGUGCGGCAGAGGGGGAUGGAAUUCCGCGUGUAGCAGUGAAAUGCGUAGAUAUGCGGAGGAACACCGAUGGCGAAGGCAAUCCCCUGGGCCUGCACUGACGCUCAUGCACGAAAGCGUGGGGAGCAAACAGGAUUAGAUACCCUGGUAGUCCACGCCCUAAACGAUGUCAACUGGUUGUUGGGAAGGUUCCUUCUCAGUAACGUAGCUAACGCGUGAAGUUGACCGCCUGGGGAGUACGG
rnacentral:rRNA from 1 species